ACGGAGCAUGCAGAGUGAAGUCUGUGAGGGCUGAGUAGUGAUAGACUUCCGCUGCGUCCCAAGCGUUUCGUUUUCGUUUCCCUGAUAGGGAAAAAGGGAAGUUGGAGUCGUCCAUCUGUCUGAAGGGGCCUUUUGAACUAGGGCAGGCUGGCUGAGCUAGGACAGAACGAAGAUUUGAGGCUGUGGAGGUGACAUAUGGGACACUGUCAGCCUUGUAGCCACCUCUCUCCUGGAAGGAACGCUAAUGCAGUUUGCUGCAGAGCAUGGGAAAUGAGGAAAAGCACAACAAACAAGAGUGCAUUUGUAUUUAACUUCAGCAAAGUAAUAUUUCUGUGACACCAUGGAAAUGGACAUCAUUCAGUCACCUAAACCUCACGUAUGACAGUCUGUGGAAUUUGGAUGCUCUCAGCAUUCUUACCAGAUCAAUGCAGAGGGAGAGUUCCGUUGAGGUAGCCUGUUAUUUGAAGGUGUCUGUUCAGAGAAAAAAAAGUGGAUUAAAAAAAGUGUAAAGAAAAGCAAGAAGGAAAAUAAGAACACAACAGGGAAGCAGAAAGAGAAGGCAAAAUGUUUUUAUGAUUAGUAACAGGCAUCUGUCUCUGAUGAUAAUUACAAUUAUUGGGCAAUUAUGUAACAGCAUUUCUCAGCUGGCCUGGACUUUUACUGUGGUUGGUGCCAUGCCCCUACAUUUGGAAAAUGACAGUACAUGCCUCAAAGAGAGCCUCAGCUAUGACACAAGAUAGAGAAGAUGAAGGAGAAAAAUUUGUGGAUUGUGAAAGGGUGAUGGAAGACAUGAUAACUACCAGUAAUAAAAGGAUGGGGGCAGUUCUAAACUUACCACCAUACCAUGCUGUGCUAUUAAAAACCUUGUGAGAGAGCAGAGCAAUAAUGAGUAAUGAGCAGCAGCAAAAGGUAACUCCUAGAAGAUGCAUAACAAAAACUGACUCAGAAAUCAUUCAGUAGAACUUAUGUCAAGCCAAGCAAUCUGGUAUUGAGACCGUAUAGCAAUCAUUUGUCCCCAAGCUGCUAUUAUCCAUGGUGAGGAAAUGAUACUUGCAAGUGUGCAGUGAAAAAGAACAUGAUCUUUCAGACCCCAUGGAGUCACAGUUUAUUAGUAGAGACUUGCAGAAGAUGGAAAUUCUAUCUGGCAAAAGACUGCCCACUCAUCCUCAUUAGCUAUGGCACCAGUAACUCCACAAGUUCUAUGCAGAAGAGUAUUUCAUAAAGGAUUAGUGUCAAGUCAACCUGCAUACUUCAUUUUGUGAUGUGAAAAUUCAAUAUUUUAUAAUAAAAUAUAAAAUUAAAUGAACAGUCAUUUUGGGGGAGAAAAAUAAAAGAAAAAGCAAAAAGCACUUCAGAAUGUUUCUACAAGUGACAAAAGAACAUUUUACAAAAUUUUCACAACUCCUCUCCCUUUUCUUUCCCCUUUGUUGAAUGAAAUUACUGAGAAAAUUAUGCUAGUUUGCAAAUGUGUCAAUGAUAAAGAAUGUGAAUUCUCUGUUCUAACACUGUUUUCCUAACAAGCUCAAUUAACCAGUUCACUUGUCUUUCAGAGGUAAAUUUUGUCCCCUUCCUUGAAAAUUCUGUACAAUUAAUGCUUGGCCCAGUUGUAACAGCCCUGCACACGCUGCCUCAAAAUAGAGCAGCACUUCUGCUACCAAAUGCCAGCCCCAUUGUGGGGGCCCGUGCAUCUCGGGCAAGAUGUCCUCUUGGAGGAAGACUGGGGAAAUGGCACAAACACAGUCUGGUCCUUCUAAUCUCCUUGGAGCUUGUUGUGGCCCUAUGUGCAGUGUACACCUGCCCUAACUUAUAUCAUAGAAUCACAGAACCAUGGAACAGCCCAGGUUGGAGGGGACCUCGAAAGUUCAUCUGGCCCAACUUUUCAUCUUUCCCAACUUUUUGGGAAAGAGAGCCUCGAAGAAAUCAUGUAGCAACCUGACCAGUCUCAAAUUGAAAACCUUAUGUGAUGGGGACCAUUUUCCUGGUAAGGUUGUUCCACUGAGUUAAUAUUCUCACUGUGAAAAAUUUCUUUCUUAUAUCAAGGUGAAAUGUCUCCUAGUACAACUUGUACCCAUUGCCUCUUGUCUUUUCUGUGUGUCUCCUUGUGAAGAAGGAGCCUCUGCCCUCCUUGUAUCUGCCCUCUAAGCACUGGAAUAGUGUGAUGAGGUCCCAGUAAGCCUUCUCUUCUCCAUGGAUGGAAGAUCUACCUCCUUCAGUCUUUCCUCAUGGGGGAGGUUCUCCAGCCCUUUGACCAUCUUUGCAGCCUUCAUUUGAACCCUCUCCAGUCUGUUUCUGUCUUUCUUGAAUUGUAGUAACCAGAAUUGGACACAACAUUCCAGAUGCAACCUCACCAACCCUGAGUGGAAUGAUCACAUCUCCAGCCUGCCAGUAAUGCUCCUGUGGCUGCAGCCCAGGAUCCAGUUUGACUUUGUUGCUGCAGCUGUGCUCUGCUGACUCAUGUUCAGCUUCUGUUGUGUACCAGGACCCUCAGGUAACCACUGGCAAAACCUCCUCCUUUCCACAAUUUUAUUUGAAUGCAAGGUAUCGAAGACAAUCUUUCUUUUAGCAGUGGCAGGAGCAAAACAUAGUUUUGUUCCUUUGUUUUCCAUUUCUUUGAACUACCAGAGGCUCAUACUGCAGAAGACACAGGUGGUUAGAUGCUAUGUAAGAAAUAUGGAUAAGAUACUGUUCAUAACUCUACAGAGCAAAAAUACCUUGCUCCUAGCAGUAGUAGAAAUAGGAAUCAUAGAAAUCUAAUGUGUUAAGGAUUUAAAUAAAUCUUCUAAUCUAAUUCUUUGGUGAAAGGCAUCAAGUGUAUCUAGGCCACUGGCAAAGAUGUUUGUCAAAUAAUUUGUAAAUGCCUUGAAUGAAGGGGGUCUCUCAGAAUUUCUCUACCCCUCGGUCCUGAGGCUGAUUGGCUUUACAAUGAGAAAAUUCACCACAUAUCUAACAUUGUUAACAUUUGCUGAAAACCAAAAUUAUUUCUUUUUGUCCUACUUCUAGCUGGUCAACAGCACUCUUGUUUCACCAAACAGUAGUUCAUAGCUUGUCCCACACUACUCUUGCAAAUCCUAGAAUGGUUUGGUUUGGAAGGGACCUUAAAAAUCAUCUAGUUCCAAAUUCUGGCCAUGGCCAGGGUUAUCUUCCAACAGACCAGAUCGCUCAGAGCCCCAUCCAGACUGGCCUUGAACACUUCCAGGGAU